rnacentral:lncRNA from 1 species
CGCCCGGAGAGAUCAGCUCAUCUCCUGCCUACGUACCUCAUCUGGUAUGAGGAUCAGGGCGACGUAGUUCCCCUACGGGGGGAUAAAGGACUAGCCUAACCAGAUAACAAAGGGAGACACAACUAGGGAGACUACGGCUCGAGCCUAGAUGUUAUCAUGCAAAACCAUCCCUAAGUUAAGGUUUCUAGCUAACUUGCACAGGGAGCAAGUCUAUCCUAAAUAUGACUUGCACAGGAAGCAAGCCACACCUAACUUGCA